rnacentral:rRNA from 1 species
UGAGGAAUAUUGCACAAUGGGCGCAAGCCUGAUGCAGCGACGCCGCGUGUGGGAUGAAGGGGCUACGCCUCGUAAACCACUGUAGCCCGGGACGAAAAACGCCUUAGAGGCGUUAGACGGUACCGGGAAAGUAAGGGUCGGCUAACUACGUGCCAGCAGCCGCGGUAAUACGUAGGGUGCAAGCGUUAUCCGGAUUCACUGGGUUUAAAGGGUGCGUAGGUGGGCAGAUAAGUCAGUGGUGAAAUCUUCCGGCUUAACCGGGAAACUGCCGUUGAUACUAUUUGUCUUGAAUAUUGCGGAGGUAAGCGGAAUAUGUCAUGUAGCGGUGAAAUGCUUAGAUAUGACAUAGAACACCAAUUGCGAAGGCAGCUUACUACACAAUCAUUGACACUGAGGCACGAAAGCGUGGGUAGCGAACA